GAAAUGCGAUAAGUAAUGUGAAUUGCAGAAUUCAGUGAAUCAUCGAAUCUUUGAACGCACAUUGCGCCCGCCAGCAUUCUGGCGGGCAUGCCUGUUCGAGCGUCAUUUCAACCAUCAAGCCCCGGGCUUGUGUUGGGGACCUGCGGCUGCCCGCAGGCCCUGAAAACCAGUGGCGGGCUCGUUGUCACCCCGAGCGUAGUAAGAGUAUCACCUCGCUCAGGGCGUGCUGCGGGUCCCGGCCGUUAAACCACCCCAUCUAUACCAAGGUUGACCUCGGAUCAGGUAGGAAUACCCGCUGAACUUAA
rnacentral:misc_RNA from 2 species